UAAUUUAUACUAUUUGAAUAGGAAGCAUGCCACAUAUAAACUAAAGCUGCUUCAAUCCACGCAUGCUUACUUUGGUGGGAAAAUCCUUAUCAAUUAGGA